CUUUUUUUGAUCAUAGGAACUCAAUUGAAUUUCAAUGCAUUCCUAUGGGAUUUCGUGCUUCGCAAGACGAAAAAUUCGCUAGACGAAAAAACUCGCGGAACGAAUUAAUUUCGUCUUGCGAGACACCACUGUAUAUGGAAAAGUGAAGGUCCACAGGGGAUUUUUGAGCCAUGUGAUAAGAAAAUCGUGAUAUAAAAUCUGGAAUAAAUAUAAAGGACUACUUGAGCCAAAAAUACCCUUGUGGACAUCACCAAGAGAAGCCAUCUACUCAUGUUAGAAUAGUUACAACUAGCAAAACUGACGGGAAGAGUUAGAGGAGUAUUGAACUGGAAAAUAUUUGGAGAAUGGAGAAUAUUUAAGGAUUAUAUAAGAUCAUAUUGUACCAACCACACCAUAUUAGCAGAACCUGAGUGAUACUUGUAAACAUAACAAAUACUGUUUGUGGAGUAGACGGGAACAAUAUUAAAGAAUAUAAAACUGUGCAAAAGAAACAACGGCAGUAUAAACAGCACAAUGAGAAUGAUUGGAAGACUCGUUUUGUCAGAAGUCUCUUUUAUUUAAUUAAUCAUGCA